rnacentral:rRNA from 1 species
AGCAGUCGCCACGGGAAUACAGAGGGUGCGAGCGUUAAUCGGAUUUACUGGGCGUAAAGCGUGCGUAGGCGGCUUUUUAAGUCGGAUGUGAAAUCCCUGAGCUUAACUUAGGAAUUGCAUUCGAUACUGGGAAGCUAGAGUAUGGGAGAGGAUGGUAGAAUUCCAGGUGUAGCGGUGAAAUGCGUAGAGAUCUGGAGGAAUACCGAUGGCGAAGGCAGCCAUCUGGCCUAAUACUGACGCUGAGGUACGAAAGCAUGGGGAGCAAACAGGAUUAGAUACCCGGGUAGUCCCUGUCUCUUAUAC